AUGAAGCCGGAAUUGCUAGUAAUGGCAGGUCAGCAUACUGCCGUGAAUACGUUCCCGGGCCUUGUACACACCGCCCGUCACACCAUGAGAGUUGGGGAUACCCGAAGUCCAUGUCAAAGUGGCCGAAGGUAGGCUUGAUGAUUGGGGUGAAGUCGUAACAAGGUAAC
rnacentral:rRNA from 1 species